CCAGUAUGCAGAGUGAAGUCAUGACAGAUGGAACAGGGUCAGGCUACAGUGAAUGUCUCUGAUGUGAAGGGCUUGCAGUGAGUUGACCUUUGGAUCAUGGACAUAAGGUCACCUAUCCAUUGUUUCAUGUUUUAGUAAUGCCAUCUUUAUUUAUGAAGGUAGGCUAUUGGUUGGAUAUGAAUAGAUUAUGUUCUGUACUCAUAUGCUCCUCUACCCAUAAAGUCAAUACUUAGAAAUAAUAGCAACAACAACAACAACAACAAAACCCUAGACAGGGUCCCUGACCAUCUACAAAGUCUAUAAUUUAUUCUAGCCGGGAUGGACCUUAUUUUGUAUAAAUCAUCUAUUUCUUUCCCCCCAUCAUCCUUACUCUUCAGGGUGGUGUUAAUUAAGAACCAUUGAUUUUCACCUAAUGUCAGUCCUCCCAUUCUUCCAAUUAUCCUGCAAAUCCCACACAUUCCUAUUUAGCAGUGGCAUUCAUUACAGAUCCCAUUUCUUUGUAGUCAUCUUUCUUUCUCUUACCAAAUCUUUCUUCUUCUUUCAGAAAAGUCUGUCCUUGACCCACUGGCUUCCUUCUCUUUUUCCACAUAUCUUAGUGGCCUCUUUUGGCUGAAUGCUUUAGUGACAAUGGCUACAUUGACAAUUCUGAAACCUCUCUGUCCACCUUUAACCUCUGUCCCAGUAUAUAUCUUCUCUGUCAAUCAGAGUUUGCCUCUAGGCAUUCAGAUGCAUACUCAAUCUAUUUAAGAAUGAAAGAAUCUUUCAUUUUGUCCCUCUUCCAUUCCAUCAUUUAGAAUCACCUUAGGCAUCACUCUUCUAAAGCCUGAAUAUGCAUUUUGAUGCAUGUCAACAUCAAGAUGUAUCUUUAAAGACAGACAGUUCCAUGGUCAGAGGCCUUUCGCUGUGAGGCAUUGCAGCUCACAGAUGUCAAAUUGUGGAGGAAAGAUGGAUAAAGGAUAGGGCCUGAGAGGUGGCACAGGCAUGAAGUUUUCUUCUCUCUUCAAGUCCAGAAUCUCCAUUACGCAGCUUCUCAGAGGUGAUAAACUUUGGAACGCAAAUUUAGGCCCAACUAACACACACACACACACACACACACACACACACACACACAAAUAAACAAAACACCACAGAAGAUUUGGAAAUCAGAAUGUCAGCACAUGAAUUUGAAAAGACAGGUCACACAAGAUGAGCCAAAUCAGUCAUUUCCUCUGGUCAUGGUGAAAUUGCUUCUUAAAUGAGUUCAGUAGAAAACAAAACAAAAAUAAAAACAAAACAAACAAAAAAAAAACCCCACAAACAACCCAGAGUUCUGUAGGUUGCUCAAUUUAAUGAGAACUUGAGGGGUAUCAUUUGGUGGGCAGUCCCUCUGUGGGAAGAACUCAGACUCUGCCUAGUAAACUAAAGUCAAGUUUGAACAUGACUCAAGCCCCAAGCUCUUUUCUUGUAGUAAGCAAGUCGUUUCUUGCGAUAGUUAUAUAUAUUGAUUUUUACUAAUUUCAUUUUUGGAGAGUAAUAUUUCCUUCACCUAGAUCUCUCUCCACCAAAUGGAGGGUAACAUAUUGUAGAUUUUUAAACUAAUCAUAAGAAAUUUCUUUCAUUCUGGCCAAAAAGAACUUUUAGAUAAUCCAUAGAUCACUGCAGAAGUGAAUCAUAUCUAAAAAGCACUUGUAACAAGUAGUUAAUUUCUUCUAUCAACAGCUCUUGAAAUGAGAUUCUUAAUACUUAGUUUGUGAUGACUAUUGGGACCAAGAUCAGUUUAGGUAUAGCCAAUACAAUCCAGGAGACAGAACUGCAUAGUAAUAUUAGCUCAUAUUAAAUAGAACUUUAAAAAAUGUAAUCAGUUCCAAAUAAAGGAAAAGAGUAGUCUGGUUUAAUAAAAUGCACAAUGUAAAAGCCAUAUUAUUCCUUUAAUUACCACUUUGUAUAUGCAUCUUUAUGAAUUACUUCUUUUCUUUAUAUACCGCAUAUACCCUAAGAGGCACCAUUGCAUACAGUUAAGAAUGUGGUCUCUCAAACCACACUGUAUGGAUUCCAAUUCAAAUUACCACUUUCUUGCUGUGCCACUUUAGCUUGUCUCUUAACUUCCUUGUGCUUCACUUUCAUUUUCCAUAAAAGUGAGGUUUAUAAUAGUAGCUCCUUCAUGGAGUUGAUAGAAGAUUAAAUAAAUUUAAUAUAUUUGGCACUAAAACAAUGCCUGGUAUAGAAUAAGAACUGCCAAAAUAUUUGCUGAUAUUUUUAUAGAAAUGUGAACAUUUCUGUGCUUUUUAAAAGCAGUCUUUUUUUGUCAGGAGGACCUGAUUCCCUCCUUCCUCUCACUUUCCUUCUCUGCUCACAUCAGUGCCACUGUCCUCAAGCCCGUUCAUACCCCAGAUUACCCGUGCUUCAAUGUUCACAGCUAAAAAUAGUUUAUAUUUUUCUCUGUAGUCAUAUAAUUCAAUAAAAACUAUCUAUCUACAUGCAUCUAUAUCUAUAUUGGGAAGAGCUGGUAAUUAUUUCAUUUUAUAGAAGUGAUAACAUCUUAUGUAAGCUUUUCUACAGCUUGCUUCUCUCAUUCAGCAAUCCCUUCAAGUCAUCUGCUAUGGUAUGUAUUCAAGGUCAUACCAUGAUAUGGACUUAUGAUCACGUAUUAAAUCAUUUGUCCUAUGAUGGGCAUUUAUUUCCAGCUUUCUGAACCAUUAUAAGCAGUGCUCCAAUAAGUACCCUUUUAUAUAGAUAUCUUAGGUAUUACCACUUUUAUUAUUAUGGCAGAGAUUCCCACAUUGCAACCACUGGUUUGAGAGUGUGUUUUCCAAUUUUAAUUGAUGCCAUCUGAUGGUUUUCCAUAGCAGUAACACUACACAUUUCCACCAAUAAUGCAAGAAGCCAUCCUUUUUUUGACAUCCUUAGUAAUAAUAGGUGUCACUUUUUCUAUUUCCAGACUCAUUGACAGAGAAACAGCAUUGAUGGGGAAUUAGAGGACCUCACAGGAUGAAGCUGUCUAUGCUGAAUAUGGGGAAUAAAAGUAGAAAUGAAUCAAGGGAAGGAAAAUAAGCCACAUGCGAGCAGAAGCUUAGCGAAGCUGAGCAUGCGGUGCUGCUUUCUAGGAGUAAGCAGAAAAACAGAAACACAUUUCAAACAGAAAAAUGGCAGAUUCACUUUAGUGCAUUCACUUCUUUAUUUACUUAUUUAGAACCCUCUAUUUAGCAUCUACCAAAGGCCAGAUAGCAGUCAUACAAAGGGUAUACAGCCACGAAUAAGACAGUCAGAUUCCAUGCACUCAAAAAAACAUUAGUUGGAGAUUCAGAUGUGUACAGGCAUCUAGGAUUGAAGAGAUGAAAUCUAGGGAAACACUUGGUGGACACAGAUUCAGGAUUAGUGUAAUAAUCAGUUGCAUACUGUGUGUAACAGUGGAAUCUACUUAAAAUGAAAAAGCCAGAAGGGGAAACUGGGGCCACAGCAAACAGGGGCCAAUAGAAACAAAACAGGAAGCAGAGUCCAAGUAGCUAGGAUACAAGUUAGGUCUUACUACUGGACAGUGUUUAUGGGAUGGGGACAGAUAAACUACAAAACCUUUGAAGACUUGAACUAGAAGGUUCAAUAGAAUCAGUCUUUACCACAAGAAAUGGAAAGUUGCUGCUCAUAUAGUUUUGUUCAAGUGCCUGAUACUUGUCCUUUUUGGCAGAAUUGUUUCCAAAUUCUAGGGAAUUGUGAAUAAGAUGGUUUUGAUUGUGACUAGCUAGAUUUUACUACUUUUCCAAGAAAGAUUGAACCAACCUGGAAGCAACUGAUUACUCAUUUCACAGAGGUGAGGUGUGGUGAAGCUCAUUCAAUGGUGGCCAUCCUACAGUACAAUGUCUACCAUGAGGCCAGAAAAGAAUCGUCAUCAUAGUGAUUAUUUUAGGUGCUCAUCAGAAAUCUAGGAAAUUAAACUGGGAAAAGCUAUUGGGUUUAGCAAUUAGAAAGUAAUUGGUGAGCUUAGAAAACAGUUUUAUUCGAAUCCUAUGGGGAAAAGGCAGAGUUUAAGGGAGACUUAUGGAAUAGUUGAACUGUGGGAAAGAGGAGACCAAAACUGUAGGAUACUGUCUCCAGGUCUUAUAGUUACAAGAAGAAAGGUGAUAAAAUAGCAGAGGGGAGAAGGAAUUUGAGCACAGAUGUGUUUUUUUUUUUCUUAACACUAAGAUCUAAGCAUAUCAACAGGAAAUAGAAAAGAGACAGAAAAUAUUGAUGAAGCUGACCAUCAAAAGGAAACGGAGCAGGUCCAAAGGAAGAUGGUAGGUAAAAGUCUGAAUCAUGGACAGAGAUAGAAGACUUAGUCUGAAAUGGCUAGAGUGAGACUUGGGCAUUUCUGCUCCAGGAAAUCUAGGUGAAGAGUAUUUGAAAAUACAUAUGUCAUAUAUUUAGAAAUUCUGAAAGUAACGUCAUGGAAAACAUUUAUUUCUGAAAAAUAGUUUGUGUAUAUGUAGAAAAUACCUAGAAGGGUCUAUAUUGAAGUGUUAAUGGUAGUUACUUUUCUGGGGUGAGUUUCAUUCAGUCAAUAUUUAAUGCUUCCUCUUACAAGGUACUGGGUGGCCCAGUGUUGGGAAUAUAAUUAUAAACAAGUCCUGGCCCUCAUGGAAUUCAUAUUCUAGGAGGGAAGCAAAUAACAAACAAAUAAGAAAUACAGUCUCCAUAAUGAAUGCUAUUAAGAAAAAGUUAAGCAAGAUAAGAGAUGAACCAGUGAUAGGGGUGCUGUUUUGACAAGCAGGCCUCUUUCAACAGGGACUUGAAUAGGAAAAUAUUCCAAACUAUAGGUUAGUGAGGGCAAGUGACCCUGGGUCAGGAAAGUGUGGGUGAGCUCAAGGAAAUGCAAGAAGGUGAGUGUGACGAGGGUAUAGUGAGGAGAGAGAGUAGGAGGGGACUGUUCAUCUCAAGAUUGUUUAGGUUCCAUCUCAGUGCAGUGGGAAGCUCUGGGAGUGUUUGAGCGCAAAAGCAGCAUGAUCUGAUUAGAUUUGAACAGAUCACUCUGGCUGCUGUGUGGAAAAUCAAAAGCCCGUGUCUGAGAGGCCCCAGGGAGAAUGGUAGGCAGCUGUCCCCAGCAGUCCAAGGGAGAGAUGGUGGCACUAUUGGAAGAAGGGAUAAAAUGAGAUUGAAUGCAACAUGCCUAAGAUGUGCUGUUUGACUUUACUGGAUGGUUAGAUUCUUUUCUUUGCAAUGGGAAUGUAUUUUUUAUAACUUCAGUCAAAAAACCUGAGCAAUACUGUAACAUUGCUAAAUAAAGAUG
rnacentral:lncRNA from 1 species